AUGCGCGGCCCAAGGCCCGCUACCGGAACCCACCGGACCCCCCGAGCCGUUUAUGAGUCUCCGUUUCGUUCCCCUCCUUACUGCGGCUCCUUGUGGCUCCGGUCGGGUGGGCUGGCGGAAGGGCGGGGGGCGGAGGGCCGGAGCCAACUGGCGGCGGCGGCUGGGAGACACGGCUGCGGGGAAGCGGAACGCACUGGCGGUGGCGGCGCAAUCUCAGUGGUCAGGGCGGAGGGCCGGUGGCCACUGGCGCCUGCGGCUGCGAGACACAACUGCGGGAAGCCAGAGCUGACUGGCGAGGGUGGCCUGAGGUUGAUAAUGGCUGAUGCUAGUUACCGCCGAAGACUGCGGGAUGCAGAAAAGUGUCGCAAUUGUGAGAAAACUGUCAUUUCUCAAACUGAAGACAUUUUUCGCAGGCCCGUCAACAUCCAGAGGCACCUGAAUGACCUUUUCAGAAUAGAAUUUCCCUUAAGACCAACUCCAGAUCAAUUUAUGGAAUUCUAUAGAGUUACUCGGGAACGCUAUGAAGCAAUCUCUUUUAUGUCAGUUCCUGGAGUUUUAUAUGAUGGCAGACCUGUUCAGAUCCCAGUCACGGCCCCUAGUUACAUCGGGGAAGAGACUUACCACACCAUUGUCAUACGCCUUGACAAUGGAUAUGUUGUGGAGUUUCUUGUUCAAGAAUCAAACAAUUAUCUUGUUGGGCUUAGAGUAUAUCGGAUUGAAAAUCAGAGAAAUGCUGCCCCUUGGUUUGUAUUCAAGAGAGUGACAUUACCUCCCUACUUCGGACAAUGCAUACCAAUCAGCUAUCCCUUGAGCUACAGUAAUGUUGGCUUGGUCUUAUUUGGAGCUGGAGCUGUCUCGGCUGCAGUGGACUUCUUUUCCACAUUUCUGGAAAAUCCUCACCAGCAGUCUACAGAUCAGGGUAAACUGCACUGCCAGUUAUUCUUUCUGCUGUUUGGUGAAGGACCCCGGUUCCGUAUUGCGCAGCAGUGGGCUAGAGACAAUGCUCUCAAUGCCAAUUGGCAAAAUCCACAAGCUGUUCUUCUCGAACUACUGCAUGAUUAUUCCAAGCUAUCUGAUUGUUCGCUUCACCUCUAUCAGUAUUAUGUUGAGAUCCCUUUUCUUGAUGCCCUUUCGGACGACCUGAAGGAGCUCAGUCCUUUUGCUCGUACCCUGUCUGAUGCUAAGAAUAGCUGGGAGCAAUUUGAGGCCAAAUACGCCAAAUUUGAAAAUUCUGGCUUGGUCUUCCGAAGAUUAUGUUGCAAUCUUUGGUGGGCGGUGAACUGUUGCUUCUCAAUUACAAUUACAAGUUUUGCACAAGGAUUCAGAUGA
rnacentral:rRNA from 1 species